AGUGAACGCUGGCGGUAGGCCUAACACAUGCAAGUCGAACGGCAGCACAGUAAGAGCUUGCUCUUACGGGUGGCGAGUGGCUGACGGGUGAGGAAUACAUCGGAAUCUACUUUUUCGUGGGGGAUAACGUAGGGAAACUUACGCUAAUACCGCAUACGACCUACGGGUGAAAGCAGGGGAUCUUCGGACCUUGCGCGAUUGAAUGAGCCGAUGUCGGAUUAGCUAGUUGGCGGGGUAAAGGCCCACAAGGCGACGAUCCGUAGCUGGUCUGAGAGGAUGAUCAGCCACACUGGAACUGAGACACGGUCCAGACUCCUACGGGAGGCAGCAGUGGGGAAUAUUGGACAAUGGGCGCAAGCCUGAUCCAGCCAUACCGCGUGGGUGAAGAAGGCCUUCGGGUUGUAAAGCCCUUUUGUUGGGAAAGAAAAGCAGCAGGUUAAUACCCCGCUGUUCUGACGGUACCCAAAGAAUAAGCACCGGCUAACUUCGUG
rnacentral:rRNA from 1 species